UAUAUGAAUCUCGGCAAAGGAUAUCUCGGCUCUCGCAUUGAUGAAGAAUGUAGUGAAAUGCGAAACUUGGUGUGAAUUGCAGAAUCCCGUGAACCAUCAAGUCUUUGAACGCAAGUUGCGCCCGAGGCCUUUCGGUUGAGGGCACGCCUGCCUGGGCGUCACGC
rnacentral:rRNA from 1 species